CUUGUCCUACGGGGGGCAGCAGUGAGGAAUAUUGGUCAAUGGGCGAGAGCCUGAACCAGCCAAGUCGCGUGAAGGAUGACGGCCCUACGGGUUGUAAACUUCUUUUGUCAGGGAGCAAUUGGGUCCACGUGUGGGCUUAGCGAGAGUACCUGAAGAAAAAGCAUCGGCUAACUCCGCGCCAGCAGCCGCGGUAAUACGUAGGUGGCAAGCGUUAUCCGGAAUUAUUGGGCGUAAAGAGGGAGCAGGCGGCAGCAAAGGUCUGUGGUGAAAGACUGAAGCUUAACUUCAGUAAGCCAUAGAAACCA
rnacentral:rRNA from 1 species